GGGGUAGCUCAGGUUUCGACAGAUAUUACUAAAUAUGACUGCAAGUGGAAGUGACGCCUUAAGUCUACAAUUAAAAUUAAAUGACAAGAAUGAAAAUUCUUUUGCUUCAAAUGCUUAUGCAUUUGCCUAAUUUAGAAUAAUAUAGGAAUAGCAAGCUUCACUUUAUUUUGCUUAUAGGAUAAUUUGAGGUUCAUAAAUAUAAGAUAUAUCCUUUUAAUUGUUUAGGUUAAAAGAAUGAAUAUUAACUAAACUUAGUUUUUUUAUAGGUUAGUCUUGAGCCAUUAAAAAAAUGAAUUUUAAAUCAAGCUAAACUUGUAGAUGUUGUAUGAUAGGAUGUUUUGGACAGGAGUUCGAUUCUCCUCUACUCCACCA
rnacentral:tmRNA from 1 species